ensembl:lncRNA
AAUUCCUUAUGCUAUUGCAUAUCUGAGAAGGGGGAGAGGAAACAGAGAGCCUACCAGAUCAACUGCAGAAAGGGAAAAAUCUCCAGGAGCUGAGUUCUUAUGGGAAGCAGGGAGAAAGAGCUGGAUUGGUGAUGUCCAAGGAGUUAGAUCUGGAGGCUGGAUUUAGUCAUGUGUGUGAGAUGUAGGUAAAGGCAGUAAAUGAGGCAGGCAUCAAAAAUGUACAUGGGCCAUAAGUAGUGUUGUGAAAUCCUAUUCUUGUGGAAGUGAGCUGGAGAAUGAAUUCAACACAGAGCCUCUCUUAGCAGAGCAAGUAGCCGCAGAAAGGAAUAGGGGUCAGUAAGAGAUGAGACAUUUGUAUGGUGCUGUCAGCUGAAGGGACUGACCACAAUUUUGGAGACAUACCACAUGAAAUCAUUGAUUUUCUGGAGUUUCUGGAGUGUUAAUAACUACAAAAAAGGAAUUUGAAAAGAGCUUAUAUCAAGCAACUCCUACCACAGCAAAUCUGGCAAGUCUGUCCAUUUAGCCCACAUCUCUAUUGUUUACAGGCUAAUUGUGGAGUUCAACAACUGUGAAUACUAUCCUGCACACAGAGUAUUACAGUGCUGUUGUCUUGGGAAUGUCUUCUUUAAGUAGAAUAGAGAUUGCAUUUAUUUGUCUGGGAUAUAUUUUACUGAAGAAAUUCUAAUUAUCUGACUUCCUAUGUUAUCCCUACAGAAGAGGAAAGGAACUGUAAGAAACAGUUAUAGAGGAAAUCUUCCUCCAAAAUGAAACUCCCAAAAUGAACAUGAAGCAUGCCCCCACAGAAUCCGGUGUAGGCCUCUUGUACUACAAAACAGCAGACCAGUUUUACUCAUCAAGCAAUUCCAUGGAAGACACAGAGAUCUGUGUUCAUGAACUUAUUUGCAUGUUGACAGACUGUGUUUCAGUGUAACUGGUUUAUUCAAAUCACAUUAGCAGGAAAUACAGACAAAAAAAAAAAAUUGCAAAGAAUGAAGUCAUUUGCAGCCUUAUCUAAAAUCUCUUACAUGUAGUCUGUUCUUUCUGAAAGCCUGUAAAUCCUGGGAAUCAGAACAGAAGCUAGAGAAAAUGGCAUUAAAAUAGUGCUCCAAAGUCAGAGACUGUAGAUAGCUUAAGACCCUCUUAGAACAUCCAGCAUAUGAAAGUCACAUGCAUCUUGGUACAGACUUCAUAAAGCCCAUUUUUUAGUAAAUGAUAGAAGAUUGCCCCCAGGUAAGUCUUUCUAAUAUGUUUUGUGGAUUUUAACCAUCUUUAGAAGGGUUUCCUUUUUCAAGAUGAUGUUACAAAUAUAUAUGUAUUAUAAGAUCUUACGCAUAAGAACUGACUCUGUAAUGUCUGUAUUUUGAAAGAGAGUUGCAUAAUUAAAAAAAAAAAAAAAAGAAAGGAUUAUCCAGUGUUCUGUAGUUUUGGUGAGGCAAGACUAGUACAGUCACAUUUAAAAAAGAACCUCCUACACAACCACUUCUACUUCAGACUUGUCAUCUUGUAAAUGCAAUAUAACUUCACAGCUUUUGAAACCUAUUACUAAUUUAAUAACAUCAUGAGAAAGUAAAAUUAUAUAUAAAAUAACUGAAUGCUCACCAAAUUUUAACAGCUGUGUCUCCAAGAAAGUUUGUAAACAGAAUUGAUUUACGAAGAAGUUUAAACGUAUCCAUGUUAAAACCAUUCCAGAUCUUCUUAUUACAAGCAUUUAAUAAAAUGAACUGUUUGAAAGAGGGAAGGGGCAUGAACGUAACAAAGAACAAGUUAUGUUAUUUAUUCUACCCAAAGCUAAAAUUAAAGUAGAAUAAUUAGG